rnacentral:rRNA from 1 species
CACGUAAGGUGCGAGCGUUGUUCGGAAUUAUUGGGCGUAAAGGGCAUGCAGGCGGUCGUGCAAGCCCGGCGUGAAAGGCGGGGGCUCAACUCCCGAACUGCGCUGGGAACUGUAAGGCUUGAGUUUCUGAAGGGUAGUCGGAAUUCCACGUGUAGGGGUGAAAUCUGUAGAUAUGUGGAAGAACACCAAUGGCGAAGGCAGGCUACCGGCAGAAGACUGACGCUGAGGUGCGAAGGUGCGGGGAGCAAACAGG